GCUACCUUCCCCCUGCGGAUCUAAUCCCAGUGCGGGCGGGAUUAACUUCCUUUACGGGCAAAGCCUUGGCAGAAAAUUUCUCGAAUCCUUUAAAAGGGGAGCGAGUGUGCUUCAUUUCCUUUCUCUUGAGAGGCAUUGGAUUUCCAAUCCAUCCUUUCCUCCAAGGUCUCCUGGAGUACUAUGGCCUCCAACUGCAAAAUCUUAUGUCGGGCUCCAUUAUGCACAUCACGGGCUUCGUCGCUCUUUGCGAGUUGUUUCUAGGCUGUGUGGCACCCCGGCUUAGAGAAACCGGGAUGCCCCGUAUUCCAGCCCAGAGAUCAAGGAGAAGUCUUCUGGAAUACAGCACUGCUUAGCAUAGAACAAACCAGCUUUCUAUUAUUACACGAAUAUGAUUACAAUGUCUCCUAUAUUACAAUGAAUAACAUCGGCACGGCGACACUACGCCAUCCUCAGUUUCUCUAUUCAAGCAGUAGAACAACUCGAAGGAGCGGAAUAACUCUAGCAGCGGAAUAACGGCGAUGGUGGUGAACUCCACUCCGCAGGGACUCUGGAUGGAACGCUUAUCCUAGCUCACGAACACAGGAACAAGACCAAACAAACAAGCAAUCCAGGCAUGACCUGCAAGCUGGCAUGACACGCCAGGUCAGUACAUUGAAUGUACUUGCAAGCUCACAAUUAACUAGAAGCAUUCAAGACAAACAACAGCAUGGUAAUUACAGGUUAAGCAUGAAUUAUCAAGAGAUCAUCAGGAUAACAUGGCAUAAGCAACAUGAACUUGAUACGGCUAGAACGAUAUGAGCAUGGCAUGAACAUAUGAAUCUGACGAUACUAACAUGCAACAUGAUGACACUAUAUGCACUAUUUAUUCUGCUCGGGUUACCUCAUAACCAUCACAUGCAUCACUUACCAACCUCGGACAUCACACGAUCAUCUCAGGAUCAAAUCAAGCUUGGUAUAAACAAUACCGUAGUAAUCAUUAAAUGACCACAAGGAGCUUGAUCUUUACCCAUGAUUCUCGCACAACAUCACAAAUAUCCAACAACUCGGUAUCCUCGAUACCGCGGUGUUCAUUCCGGCGAUCACAACCAUGACCAACACUUGGUCUCAAACGGUGAUUAUUCUGGCGAUCACAACCAACUUAUCUCAUCAUCGAACCGGGGUUGUCAUUAAUCAAGUUAUUAUUAAUACUGUUGACUCACGGUGGGACCGACACGAAUUGGGCCCUUAUCCACGGGCGCGGCUAUCGAUAGAUUUAACACACACACUCUGUAGAGGUUAGCACACUGUACCCACACCACGGAACCCUGGCCUCACACUCCCAUUCAGGUGGACCAAAGUGUUCUGACAAAACCGAUCUACUGCCAUGACGCUCUCCCGGCCACUCCGACCAACUCCCCUUUGGGCUAAGUCCUGGGUGGCCCCGUGCCUACCAAAGGCACCAACAUCCACCGUCGUGGCAAAACGGUCCCAAACGGGGACAUGAGCUCAAAACCAAACACGGGCACACAAGGCUUAUGCCGUCCUACCUGGCCAAGGUAGCGCGCCCGCAUAACCUUCCCUCGCAGGAGGCACCGGUGAGAGGCAUGACAAUAGACCCAGUUAGGGCCUUCCCAUAAGGCAAACGUGGUUGCACUGGUCAGAUCGAUAUGGUGGCACCAUGACUCAGCCAACAGUUGUUCAAGUUCAAUUUAAUCCGGUUAAACUUGAAUGCAAUAUGCUGAGCCAUGAUCAAAUAUCAUGAUGCAACUACAAUGCAUGAACAUGAUAUCAACAUAAUCACGGAAUGCAACAUAACUAUCCACCACAUCAACUAAGAAUAAUCUCCAACUGAACAUGGCAUAUUGACGAGCAUAAAUAUUACAAGUGCAACACUACUCAUGGUAUAACUUGACCACUAGCAUCAACCAUAAAUACCAUGCAAGAACUCAUCAAUAACAUUACCGAGUAACACUUAACCAACUAACAGCAAAGGAACACUGCAUAUUAACAGUACUUGGUAACUGACGUUAGUCAUGCACUGAAGAACAUGACCAACCCAACAUGUACUACUAUUGAGCAUGGCAAUAUGAAAGUAAUACUAGCAACUAGAAGGGCAUGAUAACCAGGUGCAUAAUAACAUAGCAAGCAAGUAAGCACUAACCCAGAAGCAUUACCGAAACAACGCUAACCAUAUUCUAAACAAGCAAUCAUUUAAUAAAUAUUCAAGUUGAAAACCAUGGCUACUGCAUGACUAUCAUGCAAGUGGGUAUUGUGACUUGCCUGGGGAUGAAGAAGGCACCGGGGAGAAGUGCGGUGAAGCCACGGAAAAAUUUGCCGGAAACAGCUCUCUCUCGGAGGGGCUGUUUAUGUGCAAGGGCAAAAAGGUCAUUUUCACAGUGUCAAACCAUAGUGAAAGUGAAACCAACAGAACAGGCUCGACGAGGCGAAGAAGUGGGCUUUGGAUUCACCUCAAUCGGAGUUGCGGGCAAAAAGUUAUGAUGGCUUUUCUGCCAGGGACCCAUCUGUAAAGAAAUGUUUUUCAGACUGGGCCAAAACAGAAAAAUUGAAAGCACAUUCUAGGAACUAUGCUUUCGGGACAGUGAAGGCGUAUUUUCGGCCGAAGCCGCAGCUUCUUACGCUUUCACUGAAACGAAAGCGUAUUCUUGAGAUUACACUUCCACUUAACCACGUGGACAGUGGAGGGGCCGGGCGUGGGUCGCUGACAUGCGGGUCCUGCGGGUGGGGCCCGUCACUUAUCCAGGUCAGCGUGGCGGGACCGGGCCUUGAGCAGCUGACAGGGGGGCCCGCCUUAUCCAUCUCCCUCUCCUCGCGCCUGUCUUCUUCCUCCUUGCUGCCUCCCCGAUCAGAGACAGAGGAGCGAGGGCAGGGAAGAGGCCGGCGACGGGGCGGGCAGCUCCAGCCGUCCCAAGCUCAGGCGAGAGCACCGGCUGGUUCGGAGCGGAGUGUCGCGCCCAUCCAGACGAGAAUAGGGCGCCGGGAAGGACCCGGGGCGACGCGGCUCACGGCGACAGGGAGGCGGCAGAGGGCGGCGGCCGUUCUCGGGGCACAGCCCUAAAGAGGCUCCGACGAGUCCUGGAGAGGUGGGGGAGGUUCGCGGGGGACUAGGUGGGUCUCUGGUGGUGGUAGGAGGAAAGGAG
rnacentral:lncRNA from 1 species